rnacentral:rRNA from 1 species
UACGUAGGGGGCAAGCGUUACCCGGAUUUACUGGGUGUAAAGGGGGCGCAGACGGCGAUGCAAGCCAGGAGUGAAAGCCCGGGGCCCAACCGCGGGACUGCAUUGGGAACUACCGGGCUGGAGUGCCGGAGAGGUAGGCGGAAUUCCUAGUGUAGCGGUGAAAUGCGUAGAUAUUAGGAGGAACACCAGUGGCGAAGGCGGCCUACUGGACGGUGACUGACGCUGAGGCUCGAAAGCGUGGGGAGCAAACAGG